rnacentral:rRNA from 1 species
GACGAACGCUGGCGGCGUGCUUAACACAUGCAAGUCGAACGGGUCUGCCCUGUUUUUUGCGGGGUGGGUCAGUGGCGAACGGGUGAGUAACACGUGAGUAACCUGCCCCUCACUUCUGGAUAACCGCUUGAAAGGGUGGCUAAUACGGGGUGUUCUGGCUGUGCCGCAUGGUGUGGCUGGGAAAGAUUCACUUUUGUGGUGUUUUGGUGGGGGAUGGGCUCGCGGCCUAUCAGCUUGUUGGUGGGGUGAUGGCCUGCCAAGGCUUUGACGGGUAGCCGGCCUGAGAGGGUGGGCGGUCACACUGGGACUGAGAUACGGCCCAGACUCCUGCGGGAGGCAGCAGUGGGGGGUAUUGCACAAUGGGCGGAAGCCUGAUGCAGCAACGUCGCGUGAGGGAUGGAGGCCUUCGGGUUGUGAACCUCUUUCGCCGGUGAAGAAGGUCCUGCUCUUUGUGGUGGGGUUGACGGUAGCCGGGUUAUGAAGCGCCGGCUAACUACGUG